UGCUAGAGCCACUUCGUAGUCUGUGCUAGAGCGGUAGAGCCCCGUUGAAUCCACGCAUCGGACCGGUUAUUGGAAGAUCGUUUUGUGAAAAGGCAGAAGGCACGUUGUUCGUUUCCUAACUCACCCACCAUCUUUCCUCAGGACUAUUUUGACUAUCAGUAUUAGCAUUCGAUCAUCAGUUGGGAAGAACAGAAAAUGUUUAUUCAUUACAUGCCAGACAAUUUUUGUGGUUUGGACUGGGAACUGUAAAUGUUGGUAGCCGUUAAGCUUUUCUCUUUUCAUUUGGACUUCUGUACCGUGUCUGGAUGUGAAUAGUAGUGUGCAUCUUUGUAACACAUGAGCUAGAUCAGAUUCCAGGACAAGAAGUCAAAGUUUAUACAAAGUAAUUUGUGUGACUUUGUAAAGUUGCAUCUUGGGUCCACACUGUCUUGAGCAAAAAAUACUCUAUAGAGUAUCUGCUGAUUAUUAUCUUGACAUAGUUCAUUGGAAUCUAAUACAGUAUGAUGUUAGUGUCCUAACACUAAAAUUCAUGAAGAAACUGCAUGUUUUCUCUUGGAAGUAUUUUGAGAAUUUUACCAAAAUGCAUCUUCCGCUCAGUAAAUAGUAGAGUAAUGGACUGAACCCAGAAAAUUUUUGAAUUGUUGAACUUAAUACAAUAUUUCUGCCUCGAUCAAGAUCGUACAAGGAUGUAAAGUGAACGUGGAAGCCUUGCCUCUAGAAGAUGAAAUCCAGAACAGAACCAGGUCAGGAUCAUAUCCUUGGGACAACUCCAAGGAUUUUGGGUGUUAUCUUCCCCGUUGCAAUGAAGAAGAAUCCUUAUAUUAUUAUUGAAAUGUUAAGAGUUGAUACUAUUGAUAUGUUAAAAGUGCUGAUUUAUGGGUAGAACUUUCUGAAUUCGUGACAAGGCCAUUAGGACCAGGGUUUGCAGAAAAGAACUACAUCCAAGAACAUCCUAUUAGUCAUGUUCAAAUGCGGGUCCAAAGGAUCUUACAUUAAUACAUCUAAAAUGAUAGCGUGCGCCAGCCAGCAAGCCUUAAAUGGCAAAAAAGUGCCUAACGGUUUUUUAAAUCGCUGUUUUCCCAAAUACGCCGACAGAAUUUUUUCCCCAUGCAAUGUGUGGACGUGAGGUUUUGGUGGAUACUGCCGUAAAGACGGUAGAAACCGGGUACAAGCUAUGACGACUUGUGAAGUACUAUUCGACUGUAAGGAAUUCCACCAGUAAGAUCAUUGAGUUUGCUAUGGAGGCGAUGGUUUGGACUCACCUACACGGAAGCCAAAGUUCUUCCUGUGGAUUUUCAAAGAGCACUUAGUCACAUCAAAGCCGCCUUCCUUUAUGCCGAUGAAGAUCUUUUAAUACAAUUAUGGAGACGAUUCUUUCAAAUUGCUUGGGGUCGAAUUCAAACAAAAUCUUGGAUAAUAAUAGUGGAUUUGGAAAGGAUACUUACAUUUUUGCCGUAUUGGAAAUGAACACAUCUGCCGAAGCUAAAAUGUUCUUUUAACAUGGAUAAUUGGGUGUUCAUGUCAAGUCAUGUUUAGUUUUCACAAGGAAAUCAGACUAGAAUCUUUCCAACUAUAAGACUAUAGAAGGAUUGCACAGAUUAUUUUUUGAAGUAAGUUCCAUAAGCAAAUAUUUUUCUGUUGAUUUGUGUGUUUUUUCUCUUUAGGUAAUUGACGUAAUAAAUCGAAAAUGAGGUUUCAGAAUGAGGCUGGAGUUUCUAUCAAUGCUGACGUUUGGAAACACGAUCGGAAAUACCCAUGGAAUGAAAAACAUUCUCUCGUGUCAUGGAUUGGACUUUUUAACACUGCUGAAAUGGCCACUGAUGUGCAGUUCUUGUACUGAGUGCAUUUGAAUUAUCACCGAUGAAAUUUCAAUCCCGGAAUUGGUAGUUGACUGUUGGACAUACUUAUAUAUCAGUUUUAUUUGAUUUGCAAUUGCAACAAUUAUAACAUAUUUUGUAUACAAUCUUUGUAUAUAUCGGUUU